UUCUCCUCGGUGGACAGCAGUCCACGACUGCUUGUUCUUUUCUUAUUGUUCUUCUUUCUACUUCUUCUUCUCUGUUCUUCAUUUCUUCUCCUCUUUACCGAAUGAGAGAGUUGAGAGACAGUGGGAGUGAGAUUCAGGGAGAUUGAGAGGGAAAGAGAGACUGAGAGACCGAGAGAGAGCCGGGAGCCGAAACCCGCAACCCGUCGUGCAGUGCACAGAGCCGACGAACGGCGGUUCCAGUGGCGAUUCCGGCGAACCAAAGCCGAAAUCCGACGGUUUGAUGGCGAUUUUCGACGAUCCCAUGGCAAAACCCAUAACCCGAGCGACUCGAUCCACGAAGACCCGUCAAACCCGAACGACCCACUGAACCAGAGACGAUCCAACGGCCUAAGAUGCGAUUUCCGGCGGAUGGAGGCCGUUCUCUGGUGGUUUCUGUUGGUAGUGGACUGCCCAGAACCCCACGAACCCGAGACCUGCAACCCAUGACCCGCUGAACCGUGAGGAAGACCCAGUCCUCCAGGAGUGAUUUCCGGCGACUUUUCCGGCGGAGUCAGUGGCGUUUUUCGAUGAUGUUUCUUUGGCUGCAGGUACUUCGGUAUAGUCGAUGGGUUGGUAGCAGUGUGCUUGGGAUAUUAUGACUGAAGCUCGCCGCGACAGUUAUAAUUGUCGGACCACGGGUUGUCCACUAUUUUAUAGGUUUGAUAUGGCUUGUGAUGUUUGUGUCACUUAUUCUUUGUUAAGCCAUUAUUGUUAUAGUGUUAAUAAGACUCAAACAGAUAGGUGUUAAAUGGCUAUUUGUUGUAAUUAAUUUGUGAUAGAUGUGUAAGUUGUAAUUUUCGCUAUUCAGAUUUAUGUUUUCCGCUGCAUAGAUAGAUGUAUGUUAUACUCUGAUUAUUGGGUACAUGUUAUGGGGCAUGUGCCAUAUGUUGGUUGAGCGACACAUAGUCGUGCCACUGUGAGGACUCGUUUUAUGUUUGUAUAAAAAAAAAAAAGAAGGGGUCGUCACAGGAAAUAUGCAAAGCCCUUUUUUAAUUUUUUUGGUUGGUCAUGUUAGAAUAUAAAUUAAAUAAUUAUAUUUA